AACCAGACUCCUACGGGAGGCAGCAGUGGGGAAUAUUGCACAAUGGGGGAAACCCUGAUGCAGCGACGCCGCGUGGGUGACGAAGUAUUUCGGUAUGUAAAGCCCUAUCAGCAGGGAAGAAAAUGACGGUACCUGGCUAAGAAGCCCCGGCUAACUACGUGCCAGCAGCCGCGGUAAUACGUAGGGGGCAAGCGUUAUCCGGAUUUACUGGGUGUAAAGGGAGCGUAGACGGCGACGCAAGUCUGAAGUGAAAUGCCAGUGCUCAACACUGGAACUGCUUUGGAAACUGUGUUGCUAGAGUGCAGGAGAGGUAAGUGGAAUUCCUAGUGUAGCGGUGAAAUGCGUAGAUAUUAGGAGGAACACCAGUGGCGAAGGCGGCCUACUGGACGGUGACUGACGCUGAGGCUCGAAAGCGUGGGGAGCAAACAGGAUUAGAUACCCUCGUAA
rnacentral:rRNA from 1 species